UAAGAGUGAUAGUAUUCAGUUACGUUGAAUUAGACCCCCCCCACGGGCAUUCUUU
rnacentral:tRNA from 1 species